rnacentral:rRNA from 1 species
CCUACGGGGUGCAGCAGUGAGGAAUAUUGGUCAAUGGACGAGAGUCUGAACCAGCCAAGUAGCGUGAAGGAUGACUGCCCUAUGGGUUGUAAACUUCUUUUGUAUGGGAAUAAAAUGUUCCACGUGUGGGAUUUUGUAUGUACCAUAUGAAUAAGGAUCGGCUAACUCCGUGCCAGCAGCCGCGGUAAUACGGAGGAUCCGAGCGUUAUCCGGAUUUAUUGGGUUUAAAGGGAGCGUAGGUGGAUUGUUAAGUCAGUUGUGAAAGUUUGCGGCUCAACCGUAAAAUUGCAGUUGAAACUGGCAGUCUUGAGUACAGUAGAGGUGGGCGGAAUUCGUGGUGUAGCGGUGAAAUGCUUAGAUAUCACGAAGAACUCCGAUUGCGAAGGCAGUUCACUGGACUGCAACUGACACUGAGGCUCGAAAGUGUGGGUAUCAAACAGGAUUAGAUACCCCUGUAGUC